rnacentral:rRNA from 1 species
GACGAACGCUGGCGGCGUGCUUAACACAUGCAAGUCGAACGGAAAGGCCCUGCUUUUGUGGGGUGCUCGAGUGGCGAACGGGUGAGUAACACGUGAGUAACCUGCCCUUGACUUUGGGAUAACUUCAGGAAACUGGGGCUAAUACCGGAUAGGAGCUCCUGCUGCAUGGUGGGGGUUGGAAAGUUUCGGCGGUUGGGGAUGGACUCGCGGCUUAUCAGCUUGUUGGUGGGGUAGUGGCUUACCAAGGCUUUGACGGGUAGCCGGCCUGAGAGGGUGACCGGCCACAUUGGGACUGAGAUACGGCCCAGACUCUUACGGGGGGAAGCAGUGGGAAAUAUUGCACAAUGGGCGGAAGCCUGAUGCAGCAACGCCGCGUGCGGGAUGACGGCCUUCGGGUUGUAAACCGCUUUCGCCUGUGACGAAGCGUGAGUGACGGUAAUGGGUAAGAAGCACCGGCUAACUACGUG